rnacentral:sRNA from 1 species
UAUACAGGAGGAGAUGGAAUAAGAUGGCCAAAUAGAAGCCUCUGGCAAUCAUCUCCCCCAAAGGAAUUGAACAACUAUCGAAACAAAAUUGAACAACUCUCUAAACAAAAAAAGUACCUUCAUAAAAAACAAAAAUCAGGACACAGUGUUCUGCCUCUCCUGAGUAAGCAGCAACAAGGCACAAUCUUGGAAUCAGAGGGCAGCCCUCACCAGACAACUAAAUCUGCAGACACCUUGAUCUUGGACUUCCCAGCCUCCAGAACUGUCUUUCUGGCAACUGUCUAAACAUAAACCAGGGAAGGGCAAGGCAGACUCAGGAAGGACAAAUAGAAGGCUAUUUCCAUAAAUCAGAACACCACCACAUGUGCGGCAUCCCUCUGGGUCUCUUCCAUGUCAACCCUGUGGGAACCCAGGCAAGUGAGAAUCAAGGUAAACAUGAAGUUCAUGCUGCUUACUGUGUCGUGAUAACGUCCC